CUAAUAAGAAUAAUAAUUAUUACCCUAGGUGACCAACCGCGUCACUAAAUUUGAUUUGAUAUUUUCAUACAGUUUUAAUA